rnacentral:rRNA from 1 species
GACAGAGGGGGCAAGCGUUGCUCGGAAUCACUGGGCGUAAAGGGCGCGUAGGCGGGAUGGCAAGUCAGUCGUGAAAUCUCUCGGCUCAACCGAGAAACGUCGGCUGAUACUGCCGUUCUUGAGGGAUGCAGAGGAGACUGGAAUUCCCGGUGUAGCGGUGAAAUGUGUAGAGAUCGGGAGGAACACCGGUGGCGAAGGCGGCUUCCUGGCCCGUACCUGACGCUGAGGCGCGAAAGCGUGGGGAGCAAACAGG